CCUACGGGGGGCAGCAGUGGGGAAUUUUGGACAAUGGGGGCAACCCUGAUCCAGCAAUGCCGCGUGUGUGAAGAAGGCCUUCGGGUUGUAAAGCACUUUUGUCCGGAAAGAAAUUGCUCUGGUUAAUACCUGGGGUAGAUGACGGUACCGGAAGAAUAAGCACCGGCUAACUACGUGCCAGCAGCCGCGGUAAUACGUAGGGUGCGAGCGUUAAUCGGAAUUACUGGGCGUAAAGCGUGCGCAGGCGGUUUUGUAAGACAGGCGUGAAAUCCCCGGGCUCAACCUGGGAAUUGCGCUUGUGACUGCAAGGCUAGAGUGCGUCAGAGGGGGGUAGAAUUCCACGUGUAGCAGUGAAAUGCGUAGAGAUGUGGAGGAAUACCGAUGGCGAAGGCAGCCCCCUGGGACGUGACUGACGCUCAUGCACGAAAGCGUGGGGAGCAAACAGGAUUAGAUACCCUGGUAGUCCACGCCCUAAACGAUGUCAACUAGUUGUUGGGAUUCAUUUUCUCAGUAACGUAACUAACNCGUGAAGUUGACCNCCUGGGGAGUACGGUCCCAANAUUAAACUCAANGAAUUGACGGGGACCCCCCCAAGCGGNGGAUGAUGNGGAUUAAUUCNAUGCACNCGAAAAACNUUACNUNCCNUNGAAUUGCCCUAAAAAAAAAAAAAUUNCUUNAGGNNCCCCAAAAGNAA
rnacentral:rRNA from 1 species